rnacentral:rRNA from 1 species
AUACGGAGGGUCCAAGCGUUAUCCGGAAUCAUUGGGUUUAAAGGGUGCGCAGGCGGUUUAUUAAGUCAGUGGUGAAAUCUCGAGGCUCAACCUCGAAACUGCCAUUGAUACUGAUAAACUUGAGUUCAGUUGGAGUAGGCGGAAUGUGUAGUGUAGCGGUGAAAUGCUUAGAUAUUACACAGAACACCGAUAGCGAAGGCAGCUUACUAAACUGAUACUGACGCUGAGGCACGAAAGCGUGGGGAGCGAACAGGAUUAGAUACCCUAGUAGUCC